rnacentral:ncRNA from 2 species
AUAUCACAAGAUGAUGGAGUUCACCAUAAUCGCAGAAAUGCUAAUGACUCCUACAAGAUG